GGCCAGCCCGGGGAGGAAGAUGGAGGAGCCGCGGCCGGGCGGGCACCGCGGCCGUGCCAGGAGCGCGGCGGAGGGGCUGCUCUUGAUGGGUGGAAAACACCGCUUCUCGCUCUCCUCACGGCAUGGAAAAUACCGAAACACGCUUUAGGAGAAAAAAAUAACACAGCAACAACCCCCAAACAGCUGAGGAUUGAUGUAUCUUCAGGGAAGAAGCCGUCGCCGCUCGCCUGGCUCCUCACGACAACCUGCCCGCCAUUUGCUUAAUUAAAAGCAUAUACUUGAUGUGAUCAGAUGUGGUAAUACCGUAAAAAAAAAAACCCAAACCAAACCAAAAUACCCCGUAACAUCCAAACGCUCGUUGUUGGAGGCUGCAGCCAAGCUCGGCUGCUUAUUCCAGAAGUUUCUACAGGGGAGGGAGCACCCACUGCGGAGCCUUUGCCGCAGCGCCGGGAGGAGAUGCCGAGGAUGCGCCACCUCUCCCCUUCCCAAGCCUCCCCCCUUCGCUCGAUUUUCCCCAUCCUUGGGAAAAAAACGCUGCUGGGAGGUGUGUUAAGGGUGUUUUUUAUUAAAAAAUCUUCCUCCUUCCCCCUCCCCGCUUUGCUAAAUGAAUUAAAAGCAGCGCUGUCUCCCGAUGGAGAUGGAUGAGGCUGCUCGCUCGCACGCUCCCCUGCAGCCUCCGGCUGCCCCAGCGAGGGGACCGCGGCCACAAGUGACCUUCCCCAGGUGCCCCGACACGCUGCUGCUUCUUGGGAUUCAUUUUAAAUAGGCUUAUUAUUUUUUAUCUCCCCCCUCCCCUUAAAGAACAGUUCGCUCUUUCAGUGAUUCUUUUUUCUUGACGCUUCUUCAUGAUCCUUUUUUUUUGUGUGUGUGUUUUGAAUUGCAUCUUAAAACUGCCCAGCUGGAGACAGGUCUCGAUUAGAGCUGGAACAAUAGUUCCAUUUUAUUAAUAACGGGAAGGAUUUACAAUCCUCCAGCACCUUCCUUGGAAGGCUUUCAGGAAUCAUUUGCAAACACGCACACAUUUAAGAUCCCGCAGCCAAGGGCUGGGAGGUGGGUAAGUAUGUGAAUGGUGCCACCGCCAAAAAUCGCGUCGGUGGCCAAUCUGCCUUUCCGAGUGCUGAAAAAAAGACAGAUUGGGUGGGUUCUAGGGCUGUGACCUCAAUCUGUCCCGUGUUCUCUGUAGAUGCCGAUUGUUCUGCUGCAUCCUGAGAACUGGGCUGUACAGAGGACCGCGCCGCCUUGCCGGAGCGGAGCUGUGGACUCGCUUGCUGCUCAGUAAACAUCUGCUUAUAGAUCUUUAUUUCUUUGAUUAUCUUUUUCUAAUUCAUUACCUUUUUGCAGUCCCCAAGCGACCUCCUUUAGUGCUGGCUCCGCUGUGGUUUGACCGCAGCUUCGCGUUAAAGCGCUAAUGUGUCUAAUGACCUUGCUUGGGGACCGGGCCCACCGGGCUGCUGCGGAUGCUCCGUUUCCAUUACAGAACCCCACACGCCGUGUAUUCCCAUUUUUCCAACGCAUCCUUCCCUCGCCUGGGAAUGUUGCAAUAUUAUAGUGUCUUCUGCCUUAUUUUUUGUCCUUUUUCCCCCCCUCUUUCCUAGGGAUACACAGGAUUGUGUAACCCACGGCAGAUGUAACCAUCUCAGAGCUGUCUGGGCAGUCGGAUCUGGCCUUGCUGAGACACGGGUUGUGUAAGUGGCGUGUUGUACGCAGGCCACAAAACCCCACAACAUUUCAGUGGUUACGUCUGUCUGGGAGAGCGUGAGUAGGUCCCAGGGCUUCCCCUUCCCACCGCUUUGCCGGUUCACAAAACGAGAGGCUGAUGCUUCUGGAAAAAGCUCUGCCUUGUGGCCUUUAAAAAAAAAAAACCUGCUGUGGAUUAGUCAUCCUUGUUUUUAAAGGAAGCUGCGUUUGCCAGCCCUGGCCGUGUAACGCGUGUGUGUUAUCAGCCAUUGGGUUUAUUUGCUGCGCUGGAAAUGUGGAGAACGCACCAAACGCACGUGGGGACAGACAAACGUAUUCUGGGGUCACUUCAACUCUGGAGGAGAAGCCCUGGGAUGUGUUGGUUUGGAGAUGCUCCUUGUGCUCACCGGAGGUACCAAGAAGCUGCUUGUUGGGGAUGUUUCCACGUUUUUGAGGUUGGCAACACCCCGUGGGACUCGGAAUUAACUUUUCUUUGGUAGUCGAGGACAAACGAGUGAGAAUCACCUUGGGAGCGCUGAACUUUUACCCCCCUCUCCUUCGGACUGAAGAGCUUCUAGAACUACAUCGGUGAGGCUUCCAAGUUAAACAAAACCUGAAUUCCCGCUGCCAAAAAGCAAGCGAGCGAUAGAAACCUCCACAUCUCCUCCGUGAGGGGGGACACCGCGGUCUCCCGAGAUUAUUCUGGUAUCCCCAAGAGUUAAAAAUGCUGCAUCGUGAGACCUGCGGAGGUCAAACGAAAGCCAGAGCUCACCGAGAAACUCUUCUCCGUAUCGCUCAAGGGGUUUUUGAGCAUAGCAGGUCUCCACGCACCAUUAUUUUUGUGUCUUUGUCAGGACCAAAGGAGCGAUAAUAGUGUGUUCAGUCUGCUUUGUUUAAAACACCGUCGAGUUGCUUUGCUAUCAAAAUGGUGUCUGGUGAAAGAAAAGCUCUGGUGGUGGCUGGCUCGGUGGUUAUUUUGUGCCAACCGAUCCCUCGUGGCUUUGGGCUGUGGGUUCGUGUUAAACCCUUGUCCUCCAGCG
rnacentral:lncRNA from 1 species